AGCUGGUUCUCCCCGAAAUAGCUUUAGGGCUAGCGUCGGAAAGAACCUUAGUGAAGGUAGAGCACUGAAUGUGUGAUGGCCCCAUCCCGGGGUACUGAAUACAAUCAAACUGCGAAUGUCAUUAAGGAUGUCCGGCAGUCAGACUGUGAGUGAUAAGGUCCAUGGUCAAGAGGGAAACAGCCCAGACCGCCAGUUAAGGUCCCAAAAUACAGGCUAAGUGGAAAAGGAUGUGGGGAUGCCCAGACAACUAGGAGGUUGGCUCAGAAGCAGCCAUCCUUUAAAGAGUGCGUAACAGCUCACUAGUCGAGUGACCCUGCGCCGAAAAUGUACCGGGGCUAAGCCUGAUACCGAAACUGCGGAUUGUAGGAAACUAUAGUGGUAGGGGAGCGUUGUAUACGAGCAGAAGCCGUACCGUGAGGAGCGGUGGAUUGUAUAGAAGUGAGAAUGCCGGUGUGAGUAGCGAGAUGUAGGUGAGAAUCCUACACACCGAAAGCCCAAGGAUUCCAGGGGAAGGUUCGUCCGCCCUGGGUAAGUCGGGACCUAACGCGAGGCCGAAAGGCGUAGUGGAUGGAAAGCAGGCGAAAGAUUCCUGCACCCGUAUAUGGAGCGAAGGAGUGACGGAGACGGAUAGUGUGACCCUCUUAAUGGAUUGAGGGCGAAGCGAAGCGGCUGGUUACCAGGCAAAUCCGGUAACCAUAAGGCUAGAGCGUGAGAGGUAAGCGAAAUCUUCGGAAAGUAGCGAAGCACAUGAUGACGGCUUCCAGGAAAAGCUUCUGGCAAUGCAUAUGCGGCCCGUACCAAAACCGACACAGGUGGGCAGGGAGAGAAUCCCGAGGUGAGCGAGAGAACUGUUGCCAAGGAACUCGGCAAAAUGACUCCGUAAGUUAGCGAGAAGGAGUGCUUAAGCAAUUAAGCCGCAGUGAAGAGGCCCAAGCGACUGUUUAACUAAAACACAGCUCUCUGCGAAGUCGCAAGACGAAGUAUAGGGGGUGACACCUGCCCGGUGCUGGAAGGUUAAGAGGAUCUGUUAAGAGCGAUCUGAAGCAGUGAUCCGAAGCCCCAGUGAACGGCGGCCGUAACUAUAACGGUCCUAAGGUAGCGAAAUUCCUUGUCAGGUAAGUUCUGACCCGCACGAAAGGUGUAACGAUUUGGGCGCUGUCUCGGCAGCAGACUCGGUGAAAUCUUAGUACCUGUGAAAAUGCAGGUUACCCGCAACUAGACGGAAAGACCCCAUGGAGCUUUACUGCAGCCUGAUAUUGAAUUCUGGUCAUACAUGUACAGGAUAGGUGGGAGACAAAGAGACGUGCACGCCAGUGUACGAGGAGUCGACGUUGGGAUACCACUCUUGUGUGACCGGGGUUCUAACCUGGUAUCGAGAACAGGUACGGGGAGAGUGUCAGGUGGGCAGUUUGACUGGGGCGGUCGCCUCCCAAAGAGUAACGGAGGCGCCCAAAGGUACGCUCAGAUUGGAUGGAAACCAAUCGACGAGUGCAAUUGCAGAAGCGUGCUUGACUGUGAGACUUACAAGUCGAACAGGGACGAAAGUCGGGAAUAGUGAUCCGGCGGUGCCGAAUGGAAGGGCCGUCGCUCAACGGAUAAAAGCUACCCU
rnacentral:rRNA from 1 species